rnacentral:lncRNA from 1 species
GCAAAUUCUGUUCUUGAAAAUCCUGAGGUAAUACUUGCAAAUUUUCUUUAACUCCAUUAUCUGCAACUGGGAGAUGAACCUGGUCCUUUUUCUUUGUCACAGAUGGAGGAACUGAGGCAACUAAGCAACCGGCUAACUGAGGAAAAUAUGCAUUUGACGAAGGAAGCGGAGAGGGUGAAAGCAGACAGAUGUUCAGAUGUGGAA